GCGGCUAUAGUGUAAUGGCUUCGCACUGGACUCUGUGGAAGUCCCGGAACGGGUUCAAAUCCCGUUAGCCGCCCCA
rnacentral:tRNA from 1 species